CAGGUCUUGACAUCCUCUGAAAACCCUAGAGAUAGGGCUUCUCCUUCGAGAGCAGAGUGACAGGUGGUGCAUGGUUAUCGUCAGCUCGCGUCGUGAGAUGUUGGGUUAAGUCCCGCAACGAGCGCAACCCUUGAUCUUAGUUGCCAUCAUUAAGUUGGGCACUCUAGAAUGACUGCCGGUGACAAACCGGAGGAAGGCGGGAUGACGUCAAAUCAUCAUGCCCCUUAUGACUCGGGCUACACACGUACUACAAUGGCUGGUACAACGGGAAGCGAAGCCGCGAGGUGGAGCCAAUCCUAUAAAAGCCAGUCUCAGUUCGGAUUGCAGGCUGCAACUCGCCUGCAUGAAGUCGGAAUUGCUAGUAAUCGCGGAUCAGCAUGCCGCGGUGAAUACGUUACC
rnacentral:rRNA from 1 species